CCGUGGAGAAGGGUUUCUUGUGAACAGCCGUUGUCCAAGAGUCAGUCGAUCCUAAGCCCCGGGAGAGAUCCUCGUACCACGGGCGAAGGCGUUUUCGAACCGCCCUUGGGGCGAGAGGGAAUCCGGUUCGUAUUCCGGAACCCGACGUGGAACCGUUCCCUUGUGUUCGGGGCUCUUUUGUCUCGUCUGGGUAACCGGAAUGAACUCGAAGAAGCCGUCGGGGAUCUGGGUAGAGUUCUCUUUUCUCUGUGAGCGUUGUACGUCCCUGGAAUCCUCUAGCCGGGCGAUAGGGACGCGAGCGCGAAGAGCACCGCUCGUUGCGGCGGUGUCCGUGAUCCCCACGCGGGCCUUGAAAAUUUGAGAGAGGGCCACGCGGAGUCUUCGCGUCGGUUCGUACUGAUAUCCGCAGCAGGUCUCCGAGGUGAGCAGCCUCUAGCCGCAUAGAAUAAUGUAGGUAAGGGAAGUCGGCCAAACCGAUCCGUAACUUCGGGAUAAGGAUUGGCUCUGAGGAGCGUGGCUGCCGGGUUCGGGUCGUCGUAGAAGCGUAGGCGUUUUUGGCGACACCCCGGCCGUCGCCCGUGCGCCUGGUCUUCGGAACGGGAGCCUCGAGGCGGCCGCGGGGGGCCCGUCGCCGUCCGCCGACCCUGGAACCGCCGUCGGUCGCGUAGCUUGAUCGACAGCCAUGUAACGGUCAACUCAGAACUGGCCCGGACCAGGGGAAUCCGACUGUCUAAUUAAAACAAAGCAUCGCGAUGGCCCGGGACGGGUGUUGACGCGAUGUAAUUUCUGCCCAGUGCUCUGAAUGUCAACAUGAAGAAAUUCAAGCAAGCGCAGGUAAACGACAGGAGUAACUAUGACUCUUAUAAGGUAGCCAAAUGCCUCGUCAUCUAAUUAGUGACGCGCAUGAAUGGAUUAACGAGAUUCUCACUGUCCCUAUCACAUCACAUGAGCGAUAUUGGAUACCGAUGGAAACAGAUCACUUCGUCACUCAAUUCAUGU
rnacentral:ncRNA from 1 species